rnacentral:rRNA from 1 species
UACGAAGGGGGCUAGCGUUGCUCGGAAUCACUGGGCGUAAAGCGUGCGCAGGCGGCGCGUUAAGACAGGUGUGAAAGCCCCGAGCUUAACUUGGGAAUUGCGCUUGUGACUGGCGUGCUGGAGUGUGGCAGAGGGAGGUGGAAUUCCACGUGUAGCAGUGAAAUGCGUAGAGAUGUGGAGGAACACCGAUGGCGAAGGCAGCCUCCUGGGCCAGCACUGACGCUCAUGCACGAAAGCGUGGGGAGCAACAGG